GCUGACGUCACUACCCUGGCUUGGAGAGGCUGUUGCUGAGCCGGCUCCAACCGGCUGGAAGGCGGGAAGCUGUUUCGCCUGGAGGCUCGCGCGCUUUUUGGAAUUCAGUUAUCAAGCUUUAGAGCCUGGCUACUCACAGUUGAAGCCUGAUUGCAGGGUUCUUUUAACUCUUCUCUCCACACCCGCACUGGAGACCACUGGUAACCAUCUGUGGCCAUCACCUAAACUCUCACCCAGGUUGAUUUGUACAAAUAGCACAAGAGGACACCAACUCCAUGCAGAUGGCAGCCCAGCAGGUCACACCAGUCCUUCUGUCCUCACACUGGCAGACAGAGGCCUCCUCUCUGGAGUCUUCACAGGGGCCUGAGCUAGAGCUGGAAAUGCAGCUGGAGCUGCAGCCAAAGCUGGGGCUGCAGGGCCUUGAUUUGAGACUUGGCCUUGGUCUUGGGUGGGCAGAGUUUUCUCAAAGACCCCUCCCAUUGGAGACUUCCAGUUGCAAUUCCUGUGAUGUAGUUGAUGCUUUUCUCUGGCAGCCUACUUACACCUCCAUCCCUCAGCACUUGGAUGUCUGAUGGUUCAACUCAAACACACAUUCUUUUGGAAUCCCAUGUCCUUCUAGGCAGCCCAAUUGGGCAAGGUCCUUUUAAAGUCAAUUUCAGGUUGGUUUUUGCCCAUGAGUUCACUUGGCCCUCAUGUUAAUGCAGACCACUCCCAGAGAAGCCUCGCUUCUCUCCAUUCCCUGCCUCUUCAUGCUGCAAACCAUAUAUCACCUUAGAUUUUCCGGAUGUGCCACAACUCUGGGGGAUGCCAUCCCAGCCCUGGAAGUGGUGGUUUGGGUUUGGGCUUGGGUUUUUUGUUUGUUUGUUUUUUGAGAUAGGUUUGGUUUUGCUCUGUCACCCAAGCUGGAGCAAUACUUCCACUUCAGCCUUCCGAGUAGCUGGGUCUGCAGGCAUCGGCCACCAUGCCCAGCUAUUUUUUUUUUUUUUCCAGAGACAGAGUUUUCCCAUCUUGUCCAGGCUGGUCUCAAACUCCUGGGCUUGAGCAGUCCACCCACUUCAGUCUCCAGAGUGGUGGGAUUACAGGUCUGAACCACCUUACCCAGUCAGAAGUGGUGUUUUUGAAGACUUAUUUUGUUUUGUUUUGUUUUGUUUUUGAGAUAGAGUCAUGCUCUAUUGCCCAGGCUGGAGUACAGUGGUGGAGUCUCAGCUUACUUCAAUCUCCACCUCCCGGGUUCAAGUGAUUCUCCUGCCUCAGCCUUCCAAGCAGCUGGGAUUACAGGCAUCUGCCACCACACCCAGCUAAUUUUUGUAUUUUUAGUAGAGACAGGGUUUUAUCAUGUUGCCCAGGCUGGUCUUGAUCUCCUGACCUCAGAUGAUCCACCUGCCUCGGCCUCCCAAAGUGCUGGGAUUACAGGCAUAAACCACUGUGCCUGGCCUCUUUUUGGUUUAAGAUAAGGGAAAACACCAAAAAAAAAAAAAAAAAGAUAAGGGAAAACACCAUCCUCUUGGCCCUCAUGAACAUGAGGAAAACACACAGAGAUAACACACUCCAAAGAAAAUUCCCUUCUUAUGGCCACUUCAGUGCGAAGCCUUUUAUACCCUCAAGAUUGGUCUAAGGUUCAUAAGGCCAGUUUUUUAUUCUUGUAUUUGUAAAUCCUCUUUGGGAGGUAGCCAUUCUCUUUGGAAUGUGAGUGUUUACGAUAUCUACUAUUUUUCUCCUAAUUUUUGAGGGUAUAACUGAAACUAAGAAAGGAUCUCAUUAUAACAUUCUUUUUAACUUAUAUAUCCAGAGAAUACUUCUUCAAAAAAUAUUUUAAAAAAUGAAAAUUUCAACAAAUCUAAAGAUCUAAUUAGCUUUUAGUAGUGAUUCAUGAAUUGGGCAUCAUUCUGUCCAAAACAGAGGGAGCUCUGUUGGCCAUGCAGAAGAGUUGGUUUUUGUAAGGUAGCCUGAGCAGAAACGAGGAAACAGAAAAAUUUUAAAAAGUAGAUGGGUUAAGAUAAGUUUACGUCAAGGUACUUUCACUGUAAGGAUUAAAUCAUGUCCUUAUCACGUCAACCUGUUUUUAGGAAAAACUGGCCUGUUUGGGGAUUUCCUUGCUUCCUUAAAGUUUUAGCUUGAUUAUGUAGCACUUAGCAUGAAUGACUCCAUUUUGGUUUGGUCUGUUGGGGCCUGGUGCAAGAGCUCAGUCUAAAACAAUGGCCUCCUAUAAAUUUUAUUUAAUAAAGGAUACCUGAGAAAUGGAUGCCUACCUCCAGGGUUUGGGGAAAGGGUUGUGGAGGGAGACAUUUCACUGUAUAGCCUUUAACGCCUUUUAAAUCUUAUACCAUGUUCAUUUGUCACCUAUUCCACAUAUCUAAUCAUGUCCUAAAAUGCUUCCUGUUGCAAUAGCAGAAAAAAAAAACACACUAAAAAAAUGAGGUUUGGGCUGGGCACGGUGGCUCACACCUGUAAUCCCAGCACUUUGGGAGGCUGAGGCAGGUGGAUCACCUGAGGUCAGGGGUUCAAGACCAGCCUGAUCAACAUGGUGAAACCCCAUGGCUACUAAAAAUACAAAAUGAGCCAUGCAUGGUGGUGUGCACCUUAAUCCCAGCUACUUGAGAGGCUGAGGCAGGAGAAUCACUUGAACCCGCGAGGCAGAGGUUGCAGUGAGCCAAGAUCACGCCAUUGCACUCCAGCCUGGGCAAAAAGAGAAACUCCAUCUAAAAAACAGAAAAAAAAAACAAACAAAAACAAAUGAGGUUUGUUUUAAAAGCAAAAUUAUAACUCAAGGCACAAAGUGAAGAAUUGAUGUAUAUGUACAUUUACAUACCAAGAAAGGCACUUUGUCUUUAAUUCUCCAUAUAUCUUAGUUCUUCUUCUUUUUUUUUUUUUUUUUUUUUUGGCUAACUUACAUUGUCACAAUUCCUCACUGCUUAUUUACACCUUUCUGGUACCAUCAAACUGAUAAAUUAUGGUUGAUUUCAUUGUGCUUCAAUCUUGUUUACAUCUGAUUUUGAGUCAUAGAACUGCAAAAUUUGAAGGAAGCUUAAAUAUUAUUGUGUAAGUGUUCCUUGGGUCAUGGCUGACAAAGCUGAGGCCCUCAUACAGUCAUCACAGCAGAGACACACUCCAGGAAGCCUUUUGCAGAACAGUGAACCGGCCUGGCUUUUGUUGUGUAUGUUUGUUUCCUUUUUUUUUACGUUUAAUGCAAGUGUUGAAGAUAAAUGAAUGUACCCACUCUAUUAUAUAACACAAUGACAGCCUUUGUUCCUCCCUGGUGCUAUCCUUAGGGUAGGACUCAGUGUUUCUCUUUAUUUAUCAAAAGAAAGUUCAUUCUAUAAGGCACUAGAGGGAAGAUUUUGUAGAGAAGGUGGACUGGAGAGUUACAUCAUAUAACACACAGUAAAAUUUAAUGAAAGUCCCUGUUAAACAGUUUUGUUCUUCCCGUAAAUUCAUCUCCAGACAACAGCUGCCCCCUCUCCCUUAUAACCCUUUUUUCAGGCAGGCUGUUUAGGCCUGCCUGGUUACAAUCAGGUUUCCAGCCCCAGGGAUCUUCUUUCCAAACUCCUAAAUCACUCCUUUUUCUCCUGCAGAGUAAUUUAGCUCUCUCCUGGUUUCUUCAAUUUUGUAUCUUCACACCUGAAAUUCCGUUCAUCUAAUAAUCUACUUCCAUUAGAAGAAAGUAAGUAAUCCACAAAAUUUUUAAAAUAUUGGUUUUUAAAUUUAUCUAUUUAGGCCAGGCAUGAUGGCUCCCGCCUGUAAUCCCAGCACUUUAGGAUGCCGAGGCAGGCGAGUCACCUGAGGUCAGGAGUUUAAGACCAGCCUGGCCAACUUGGUGAAACCUCAUCUCCACUAAAAAUACAAAAAUUAGCUGGGCAUGGUGGCAGACACCUGUAAUCCCAGCUACUUGGGAGGCUGAGGCAGGAGAAUCGCUUGAACCCGGGAGGUGGAAGUUGCAGUGAGCCAAGAUCAUGUCACUGCACUCCAGCCUGGGCAACAAGAGUGAGACUCCAUCUCAAAAAAACAAAAGAAAUGAAAAAAUUUAUUUAUUUAUUUUAAGGCUAGUCAAGUGGAAGCAGUGGAAAUAGAAACAAAGAAAUCUGUAACUGGUUGUGAUCAAUUAGUUGUAAACACCACUGCACAGCCUAAAAAUAUUUGUCUCAAAAUAAUUUUUUCUUCAUGUCACAUUACAAGACAGCAACAAUAAGUAAGCACAGAGUCCGGGUUGAUACAGUUCAGGACAUUUGGUAUCGCAAAACCCCAGAAUAUUAGAGCUAUAAAGGCCCUGACUUAACAGAUGAAGAAACUGAGACCUAGAAUAAUAUCCUGUUAGUUGACCUCCAGAAUCUGUUUUCUCUUCUCCUACAGUGAUAGAUUUAUAGCUUGGUGUGGCCAUGACUAAAUUCUCACCAAUGGAAUGGAGACACAGGUGACUUGUGCAGAUUCCAAGUUGCCUGUUUAAAAGGAAGUUGUUGGCUGGGCGCGAUGGCUCACGCCUGCAAUCCCAACACUUUGGGAGGCCAAGGUGAGCGGAUCACGAGGUCAGGAAUUUGAGACCAGCCUGGCCAAUGUGGUGAAUCUCUACCAAAUGUGGCCAUCUCUACCAAAAAAAAAAAUACAAAAAUUAGCCGGGCAUGGUGGUGCAUGCCUGUAGUCCCAGGUACUUGGGAGGCUGAGGCAAAGAAUCUCUUGACCUGGGAGGCAGAGGUUGCAGCGAGCUGAGAUGAUACCACUGCACUCCAGCCUGGGCAACAGAGUGAGACCCUGUCUCAAGAAAAAUUAAAAAAAAAAAAUUUUUUUAAAGGAAGUUUCUUGUUCUUCAUCUCUUUUCCCCCAUUCUCUUGAACAAGAAAUCAGGCUUGAUAGCAACACAACUUGGAAGAUUCGGACAAAAAACGAUACCCUACCAUCUCGCUAUUCUGUGUGCUCCACGUGUAAGUAGCAUCAGCAUCACCUAAGAACUUGUUAGAAAGGUGGAAUCAUAGGACUCACUCCAGACAUACUGAAUCAGAGCCUGCAGUUUAACAAGAUGCUCAUGUGAUUCACCUUCAUAUUAAAGUUUGGGAAGAACUGAUUUAGAAAAUAGCAGAGCCAGGAGAUGGAAUCAGGAUUCCUGAUUGUCACAAGCUAAACUACACUGACAACUUGGACCACUUACUCCCCCCACCCCCAAUUUUCAAUUUUGGUAAAAUACACAUAACAUGAAAUUUACCACCUUAACCAUUUUUAAGUGUACUGUUUAGGGAUAUUAAGUACCUUGCAACCAUCACCACCAUCCAUUGCCUGAAUUCUUUCAUCUUGCAAAAUGGACACUUGAAACUCUACACCUAUUUUUUUGUUUUCUUUUGUUUUGUUUUGAGACAGAGUCUCACUCUGUCACCCCGGCUGGAGUGCAGUGGCGCAAUCUUAGCUCACUGCAACCUCUGCCCCCCCAGGUUCUAGCGAUUCUCCUGCCUCAGCCUCCUGAGUAGCUGGGAUUACACGCGCGUGCCACCACGCCCAGAUAAUUUUUGUAUUUUUAGUAGAGAUGGGGUUUCAUCAUGUUGGUCAGGCUGGUCUCGAAUUCCUGACCUCGUGAUCCGCCUGCCUCAGCCUCACAAAGUGCUGGGUUUACAGGCGUGAGCCACCUCACCCGGCCAAAACUCUAUACCUAUUAAACACCUCUCCGCUCACUCCUCCCACCAGCCCCCAGUAACCACUGUUCUACUUUCUCUUGAACUCAUCUAUUUUUGGAUUGUUGAGAGAGACUUAAGCCACGGUAUUUUGGGAUGUACUGCUCAGAUUUCCCCUUUUUAGGACCAAACCACUCAUUUUCUCAGCUACUGAGAGUAUUGGCAAAUGACAGACUAAGUUCAGUUCCUCUUCAGAAAUUGCCCUUGGCUGAAGAGAGAUACUUAACCCAAAGUCUUUCCAGAGUCAGUCAGUCCACAUCCAAUGGGUACAGCAGCCAAUGCAAGUAUUAAUACUAGUUGCCUUGCCCCAGUUUGGGAUAAUGCCAAGGGAUCAUUCCAACUACAGAGUUUCUCUUGAUUUAUUGCGAUUGCAUCACAAUUCAACUUUUUCCUCUGCCUAAUUCUUCCUUUCCUCCUCCACAGGGUUGAUCUGGUUAAUAUUCCCCAAUAAACAUCAUUUUGUAUCCUUGGCCUAGGCAUAAGAGCUGUACUAGUGAUGAAGGCCAUGACUCUACUCCCUCUCCCUCAUGAAGCCCCGGGCCCAGCCCCUGCCUGCCAAGAUAAUACAAAAUCAUAUACAUUUUGGGGGUAACGACAAAGAUUGGUGCUAUUUAUAUAAAGCCUAAAGGGUGCAGUGGCCAUGGUCCCCACAAUAUCUCCAUUCUAAAAAUCGGCCAAAACAUCUUCCAAAGUAACUGUAUUUUGCAUUCCCAGCAGCAUUUUGCAUUCCCAGCAGCAAUGAGUAAGAGUUUCAGCUUAUCAGUUAAAAAAAAAAAAGUAGUCAUUUUAAUCGGUGUGUAGUUGUAUCUCAUCAUAGUUUUAAGUUGCAUUUUUUUCUUCUUUUUUUUUUUUUUUUUUUUUUUUUUUUUUUUUUUUUUUUGAGAUAGGGCCUCACUCUGUCACCCAAGCUGGAAUACAGUGGUGCAAUCUCGGGUCACUGAAACCUCUGCCUCCUGGGCUCACAUGAUCCCCCACCUCAGCCUCCCAAGUAGUUGAAACCACAGGCACUUACCACCACACCCAGCUAUUUUUUUGUAUUUUUGGUACAGAUGGGGUUUCACCAUGUUGCCCAGGCUGGUCCUCCAACUCCUGAGCUCAAGUGAUCUCUCUGCCUUGGCCUUCUGAAGUGCUGGGAUUACAGGUGUGAGCCACUGAACCCAGCCUCAGUUGCAUUUCUUUAAUAACUACUAACAUUGAGCAUCUUUUCUUUUCUUUUCUUCUUUUUUUUUUGAGGCAGAGUUUCGUUCUUGUCGCCCAGGCUGCAGUGCAAUGGCGCCAUCUCUGCUCACUGCAACCUCUGCCUCCCAGGUUCAAGCGAUUCUCCUACCUCAGCCUCCCGAGUAGCUAGGAUUACAGAUGCCUGCCACCACGCUCAGCUAAUUUUUUGUAUUUUUAGUAGAGUCAGGGGUUUCACCAUGUUGGCCAUGCUGGUCUCUAAUUCCUGACCUCAAGUGAUCCACCCUCCUCAGCCUCCCAAAGUGCUAGGAUUAUAGGAAUGAGCCACCGUGCCUGGCCUUCAUGUUCUUAUUCUUCAUCUGUUCUAUUACUUGGUAAAGUGUCUUUUCAAUUCUUUUGCUUAUUUAAAAAAAAAUUGAAUUGUUUGUUUUCUUUUUUUUUUUGAGACAGAGUCUCACUCUGUCACCCAGGCUGGAGUGCAGUAGCGAGAUCUCGGCUCACUGCAACCUCUGCCUCCCAGGAUCAAGCAAUUCUCCUGUCUCAGCCUCCCAAGUAGCUUGGAGUACAGGCACACUCCAGCAUGCCUGGCUAACUUUUGUCUUUUUAGUAGAGAUGGGGUUUCACCAUACUGGUCAAGCUGGUCUCUCGAACUCCUGACCUCAGGUGAUCCACCCGCCUUGGCCUCCCAAAGUGCUGAGAUUACAGGCCUGAGCCACCGUGCCCGGCCUGUUUGUUUUCUUAUUAAGUUUUAAGAGUUCUUUGUGCAUUUUGGAUACACAUUCUUCAUCAGAUAUGUGUCUUGCAAAUAUUUUCUCCCAGUCUGUGACUUGUCUUUUCAUUUUUUACUGUUGUCUUUUGCAAAGCAGAAGUUUUUAAUUUUAACGAAAUUCAACUUAACAAUUUUUUUAUUUCGUGGACUAUGCUUUUGGUGUUGUAUCUAAAAGCUUAUUGUCGGCCAGGUGUGGUGCCGCACACCUGUAAUCCCAGCACUUUGGGAGGCCAAGACCAGUGGAUCACCUGAGGUCAGGAGUUCACGACCAGCCUAACAUGGUGAAACCCCAUUUCUACUAAAUACAAAAAAAUUAGCUGGGCCUGGUGGUGCAUGCCUGUAAUCCGAGCUACUUGGGAGGCUGAGACAGGAGAAUCGCUUGCAUCUGGGAGGUGGAGGUUGCAGUGAGCCGAGAUCGUGCCAUUACACUCCAGCCUGGGCAACAAGAGCGAAACUCCGUCUCACAAGGAAAAAAAAAAACAAAACAAUUUAUCACCAAACUCGAGGUCACCUAGAGAACACAGAAAUAUUUUCUUCCAGAGAUAUUACAGUUUUGCAUUUUACAUUUAGUUCUAAGAUCCACUUUGAGUUAAUUUUUGUGAAAGGUAUAAGGUGAGGUGUAUAUCUAGAUUCUUUCUUGCUUUCUUUUUCUCUUUUAUGCACACCAAAUCAUUCCAGCACCAUCUUUUCUCUAUUGAACUGCCUUUUCUUCUUUGCCAAGGAUCAGUUGGCUACAUUUGUGCUGGCCUAUUUCUGGGCUCUGUAGACUCUUCCAUGGAUCAAUGUGUCCUUCCUUCCUUCCUUCCUUCCUUCCUUCCUUCCUUCCUUCCUUCCUUCCUUCCUUCUUUCCUUCCUUCUUUCCUUCCUUUCUUCCUUCCCUCCCUCCCUCCUUUCUUUUCUUUUUCUUUUCUUUCUUUUCUUGAGAGACAGGGUCUUGCUUUGUCACCCAGGCUGGAGUGUGGAAUGCAGUGGUGCAAUCAUAGCUCACUGCAGCCUCGAACUCCUGGGCACAAGUGAUCCUCCCGCCUCAGCCUCCCAAGUAGCUAGGACUACAGGUGCGUGCCACCAUACCCAGAUAAUUUAUUUAAAAUUUUUUGUAGAGAUGGAAUCUUGUUACGUUGCCCAGGCUGGUCUUGAACUUCUGGCCUCAAGUGCUCCUCUCACUUCGACCUCCCAAAGUGCAGAGGUUAUAGGUGUGAGCUACUCGACCUGACCCUAUAUAUGUAUUCUUUUGUCACUACCAUGCCAUCUUUGCCCCUUAACUUUAUUGAGGUAUGAUUGACAAAUAAAAAUUGAAUAUUUUUAAGGUGUACAAUGUGAUGUUUUGAUAUAUGUGUACAUUGUGAAAUGAUUACCACAAUCAAGCUAACUGAUAUAUCUAUCAUAUCAUUUAGUUACCAUUGUGUGUGUGUGUGUGUGCGUGUGUCUGCAGUGUGAGAACACUUGAGUUCUACUCUCUUAGCAAAUUUCAAGUAUACUAUACAUUGUUAUUCACUAUAAUCACCAUGCUGAACAUUAAGUCUCCAGAACUCAUUCACCUUAUAACUAAAAGUUUGUACUCUUUGACUAAUUUCUUCCCUUUGCUCCCAUCCCCCAGCCCCUGGUAUCAUUCAUUCUACUCUCUGUUACUAUGGGUUCAACAUUUUUUUAGAUUCCACAUACAAGUGAGAUCAUGCCAUGCUGUCUUAAUUACUGUACCUUUAGAGUAAGUCUUGCUAUUAGAUGGUGUGAGUCUUCCAACUUUGUUCUUCUUCAGUAUUGUGUUGGCUAUUUUAGAUCUUUUGCUUUUCCAUACAAACUUCAGAAUCAUUUUGUUGGCCAGGCACGGUGGCUUACACCUGUAAUCUCAGCACUUUGGGAGGCCGAGGCAGGUGGAUCACCUGAGGUUGGGAGUUCAACACCAGCCUGGCCAACGUGGUGAAACCCCAUCUCUACUAAAAAUACAAAAAUUAGCCAGGUGUGGUGGCACGCACCUGUAAUCCCAGCUACUCGGGAGGCUGAGGCAGGAGAAUCGCUUGAACCCAGGAGGUGGAGUUUGCAGUGAG
rnacentral:lncRNA from 1 species